AGCGAACGCUGGCGGCAGGCCUAACACAUGCAAGUCGAACGAACUCUUCGGAGUUAGUGGCGGACGGGUGAGUAACACGUGGGAACGUGCCUUUUGGUUCGGAAUAACUCAGGGAAACUUGUGCUAAUCCCAAUUGGGCCCUCGGGGGGAAGAUUUAUCGCCAUUAGAGCGGCCCGCGUCUGAUUAGCUAGUUGGUGAGGUAACGGCUCACCAAGGCGACGAUCAGUAGCUGGUCUGAGAGGAUGACCAGCCACACUGGGACUGAGACACGGCCCAGACUCCUACGGGAGGCAGCAGUGGGGAAUCUUGCGCAAUGGGCGAAAGCCUGACGCAGCCAUGCCGCGUGAAUGAUGGAGGUCUUAGGAUUGUAAAAUUCUUUCACCGGGGACGAUAAUGACGGUACCCGGAGAAGAAGCCCCGGCUAACUUCGUG
rnacentral:rRNA from 1 species